UGGGGAAUAUUGCACAAUGGGCGCAAGCCUGAUGCAGCCAUGCCGCGUGUAUGAAGAAGGCCUUCGGGUUGUAAAGUACUUUCAGCGAGGAGGAAGGCGUUGUGGUUAAUAACCGCAGCGAUUGACGUUACUCGCAGAAGAAGCACCGGCUAACUCCGUGCCAGCAGCCGCGGUAAUACGGAGGGUGCAAGCGUUAAUCGGAAUUACUGGGUGUAAAGCGCACGCAGGCGGUCUGUCAAGUCGGAUGUGAAAUCCCCGGGCUCAACCUGGGAACUGCAUCCGAAACUGGCAGGCUAGAGUCUUGUAGAGGGGGGUAGGAUUCCAGGUGUAGCGGUGAAAUGCGUAGAGAUCUGGAGGAAUACCGGUGGCGAAGGCGGCCCCCUGGACAAAGACUGACGCUCAGGUGCGAAAGCGUGGGGAGCAAACA
rnacentral:rRNA from 1 species